rnacentral:rRNA from 1 species
GUGGGGAAUCUUAGACAAUGGGCGCAAGCCUGAUCUAGCCAUGCCGCGUGAGCGAUGAAGGCCUUAGGGUUGUAAAGCUCUUUCGUGGGGGAAGAUAAUGACUGUACCCCAAGAAGAAGCCCCGGCUAACUCCGUGCCAGCAGCCGCGGUAAUACGGAGGGGGCUAGCGUUGUUCGGAAUUACUGGGCGUAAAGCGCACGUAGGCGGACUGGAAAGUCAGGGGUGAAAUCCCGGGGCUCAACCUUGGAACUGCCUUUGAAACUCCUGGUCUUGAGGUCGAGAGAGGUGAGUGGAAUUCCGAGUGUAGAGGUGAAAUUCGUAGAUAUUCGGAGGAACACCAGUGGCGAAGGCGGCCCACUGGCUCGAUACUGACGCUGAGGUGCGAAAGCGUGGGGAGCAAACAGGAUUAGAAACCCCGGUAGUCC